AUACUAUGAAAAAGACAGGUUUCGGUAGUGUUGGUGUCCGUAUACAUACUAUGAAAAAGACAGGUUUAGGUAGUGUUGGUGUCCGUAGACAUACUAUGAAAAAGACAGGUUUAGGUAGUGUUGGUGUCCGUAGACAUACUAUGAAAAAGAC